UACGUAGGGGGCGAGCGUUGUCCGGAUUUAUUGGGCGUAAAGAGCUCGUAGGCGGUUGGGUAAGUCGGGUGUGAAAACUCAGGCUCAACUCUGAGACGCCACUCGAUACUGCCCUGACUCGAGUCCGGUAGGGAGCGUGGAAUUCCCGGGUGUAGCGGUGAAAUGCGUAGAGAUCCGGAGGACACCGACGGCGUAGGCAGCGCCCUGGACGACACCUGACGCUGAGGCACGAAAGCUGGGGAGCGAACAGGAUUA
rnacentral:rRNA from 1 species